rnacentral:lncRNA from 1 species
GGUAUUUUUCUUGAAGUACGAGGAAAUGAAAAAUGAGCCCAGGAUUCAAUUGAGGAGACUGUCUGAAUUCUUGGGGUGUCCAUUUUCCCUUGAAGAAGAGAAUAGCGGUGUCUUGGAUGAAAUCUUGGAGCUGUGUAGUUUUGAAAACCUGAGCAAUUUAGAAGUGAAUAAUAUCGGAAGGCUGCAUUCCGGAGAGGAGCAUCAGGCCUUUUUUCGACGAGGCGAAGUUGGUGAUUCCAUGAAUUAUCUCACGGCUGAGAUGGUGGAAAAAAUUGACAUGAUCACUGAGCAGAAGUUGCAUUGUCAUGGUUUAAAGUUCUAGUUCGUUGUGAAGGCCGCACCAUCUUCCUUUACUGUUUAUCAACAUGCAUCUUUUGUUGUUAAGCUGAGGUCAACAUCUAGGCCAUUUAUCGUAUGGUGCAUUAUUAUUGUCAAUCAAACCUGUCAGCAAUAAUGGCAUGGGCAUUGUACGCUGCAGUACCGGUGAGGGAAGCGGGAGCACCGAGCAGAAUAUGUCUUUAUCAAGGUAGCUUACACGUGAUAUUCUGGGGUGUUAAUAUAUUUGAUUUGUUGAUUGCUACGUCACCAAACUUAUUAACGUAUCCCUAGUGAGUUUCCUGCCAUUGCUCUAUGCUUUGUAAUCUUGCUUGUUUACAAUUGUUUUUAUGAACCCAGUUUGUGUUGGUUACUACAAUUUCUUGGUGUAAAGGAUGGACGAUCCUUUAAAUGACAAGUUUAUCACUACAAGGGGGUAUUUUAAAAUUCUAAUGCAUUUUCAUAAAAAGUUUUAGAAAAAAAUAUAUAUUAAUUUUUUUUUGAUAAAUAAUACAAUUUAAACACAACUUUUAUUGAGAAUAAUAGUUGAACAUAAUUGUUGUUGAGAAUAAUAGUUCCUAUAAAAAUCAUGUCUUUCUCAAUUUAAUUAACAUAUAAAAAGUAAAUCUAAAAUUCUAUGAAUAUCCAGUGAUCAAAGUGUGUUAUCAAUGACCUUUUCUUUUCCUUAACCAUUUGAUUUUUAAUCUUACUUGUUGAUUAUUGAAUUUUCAUAAAUUAUUUGAUUGAUUUUUGUUUAGAUUAAUUAAUUUGUAAGAUGAAAAUGUUCUUAAACAUUCACUAAAUAACUGCUAUUUUAAAUAAUAAUUGUGUAAAAAAACAUAUUUGAGACGUAAUUACUAUUCCAAAUUUAUAUAUAAAAAUAAUAUUUUAAACAUCUUCAUAUUCAAACUAUAUUAAUUUUUAAAUAUUUUUUUAACAUGUUUUUGUUGUUGUCCUAUAACUUUCGGCAAGCUAUUCUAUUUCUUAAAAAACAAAUCCACCACCAGGUGUCCCGUUAUGUUUGGUGACUCAUAAAUUGAAAUGUUUGGUGACUCGUGAAUUUGGAAAAUAUAACAAUAUACGUCAAUGAUUAGGAACUCCGUUCCAAAAUAAUAAUAAUAAUAAAAAGGAAAGGUAAGUCUACUUUUUGUGAUUUUGUCAAUUUGUGCUCUAUCAUCAUUAUUAUUAUCAAGUAUGAAGUGUAAAGCCGGAAGUUGAUACUACACCAUUUAAAUAGAGUAAUUUAUAGUGUGUUUUUUUUAAUUAUUUUGAACAUUUUUUAUUGUUUUUUUUUAACUUAAUCUUUCUACUUUGUGAUGAAUUUAGAGUUGAUAAUUUAUUUUUUAUAUGGUUAUUCAGUAUAAAAAAAUGUUUUAGCAUUGAGUUGGUAUUAAAAAAUAUCCUAGCAAUGCAAUAUUAUUUAUUAUAAAACCAAAUUAGUUAAAUAAAAAAUAAUUUCAAAAAGAUUAGUUUACUAAGCUUUGUAGAGUCAAUUGCCUAAUUUACGAUACCUUGUAUGCCUCAGUUUUAAGGUCUAACGAGAUAUUUUAUUUUAAUAAAACUUAAUUAUGUGAUAAUCUAUUUUUUUUACUACUUAAACAAAAAAUUUUGAAAAAAAAAUAUAUUAUUAAAUAUUCUGCAGAUUAAUAUUAUCUUGAAUAUUCUGUUUCUUAAUAUCAUAUACUUAUAAUAGAGCAGAUAUAAUUCGCUAAUGUACUGAAAGCGAGGGCCGUAUCAAUUUUUAAAGGCAUAUAUACUGUUUGGCAGCUGGGCAAAUUAUUGUCACUGCUAGUGCUAUUUCUAAUAUGAAUUUGCUCAUAGAAAGUUUGGAGCAAAAUGAUAACAAUCAAUAGAAGGCGAUCACAUGGUGAAAUUCAUUCAUUCACGCAGCAAAAUAUAGAUUAAAUAAUUGCCGUAACAACACGUGUCAUGGCAUUGGUGCACUGAGACCAUAAGGUUUUUCGUUCAACCUUUUUAUUGUGCCCAAUUUGAUAUAAAAUAAUUAAAAAAAUAAGAAGGCGGGUCUCUUGAAUACAGCCUCUCAACUAAAAAAUCGAACAUGAUUUUCAGAAGGAUCUUAAAAGGAACCAAAGGUCAAGGGUUGACGGCACAAGUUCACCCUCUCCCUUGUCUGCUUCUGUACUUUUGUAUAUAUUAUUUUGUUAUUUAUUUAUUUGUCAUCAUAUCAUUGAAAGUAUGAAUGAGGUGGGUUUUUACAGGUCUAUAUAAUGUUAAUGGGAAUGAUCUAAGGAUCAACUUAAAUAUAUUUCCCUUUCAAAAUAUAUUACUCGAACCUAAAAAUCCCAAAGCAUUUCUUCUUGAACUACAAUGACAAGCCCCGAGCAAUCUCUUUCUCUUCCCAUAUUCUUGCAAGAAAAUGAAACCUCCCAAGAAUUCAAAGACUUGAUAGCCUCGAUGCCCACUGAGAAAGGCUGGAUUACAAAACAUCUCCAUCAAUACCAAGGUUUUUGGUACUCAACUAGGCAACUUCCAGGGAUUCUAGCUUGCCAAAAACACUUUCAAGCCCAAGAUGGCGAUAUCUUUCUUGUGAGCACUCCUAAAUCAGGCUCUACUUGGUUAAAGGCGGUGAUGUUUUCCUUGGUGAAUCGGGUUUCCUUUCCUGACACUAAACAACACCCUUUGCUCACUAACAACCCUCAUGCUCUUGUGCCUUUCUUGGAGAUGGAAUACAUUGGCAAAGAGAAUCUUGACUUCACCAACUACACUUUUCCUAGGCUGUUUUCAACUCAUCUCCCACUCUCAUCACUUCCGAGAUCUGUGGAGGACUCUGAUUGCAAGCUUGUUUACUUGUGUAGGAAUCCUAAGGACACUUUCGUGUCCUUUUGGCACUUCAGUAACAAGUUGACACCCAUAGAUUGGGUUGCUACUUCACUUGAAGAGACCUUUGAUAAAUUCUGUAGGGGAGCGAGUUUGUAUGGGCCAUUUUGGGACCAUGUUUUGGGUUAUUGGAAGGAGAGCCUGGAAAGGCCUCAUAGGGUAUUUUUCAUGAAGUACGAGGAAAUGAAAAACGAGCCCAGGAUUCAAUUGAGGAGACUGUCUGAAUUCUUGGGGUGUCCAUUUUCCCUUGAAGAAGAGAAUAGCGGUGUCUUGGAUGAAAUCUUGGAUCUGUGUAGUUUUGAAAACCUGAGCAAUUUAGAAGUGAACAAGAUCGGAAGGCUGCAUUCCGGACAUGAGCAUCAGGCCUUUUUUCGACGAGGCGAAGUUGGCGAUUCCAUGAAUUAUCUCACGGCUGAGAUGGUGGAAAAAAUUGACAUGAUCACUGAGC